AUAAUAGGAGCGACUGCCCCGCUGGCUAACUAUUGUCUGUCUGUGCACACACAUACAAAUUGGGCAUUUGUGCACAACACUUAGGAUAAUAGAUGUUGGGGAGAAGAGCUAGUCAGCCUGGAUAAGAUCACAAGAGGAAUGAUUCAGGAACACAAGAGCCAGAAACACUUUAAGCGGUCGAAAGCAUCUCAACUGAAGAACACCUAAAUAACAUCAACAAGCGUGGUGACAGGAAGCUAUUGUGUUCUGUAUCGCAAUAUAUCAAGCCUCAUUACUUCAGAUCUCAAAAUACAGUGACAAUGCAGACCACAAUUGAUCUGAUGUACAACACCACCAUGCAAGAGGAACUCAGCGUUUCUUUUGCAACGACUACUUUCGCUGCAACUAGUGCUGCCGAGAUCAGCUGUGUUAUUGACGCCCAGCUAGCGUUUAUAGCAACAGCGAUUGCUGGUGGCAUCAUGCUGAUCCUUUUAACCUCCACCAUAGUAUUGGCAUGUACCGUCUCAAGCCUGAAACGUCAUCACCGGGCCCCUCGCCCAUCCCGAAGCAAUGCAGACCUGGUGAGCGGUACAGGCUAUUGGGGUACCGAGAGAAAAGAGGGCGGUAUUGUGGGUCCAUGCGAAACCAGCGUUCUACUAGAGGAGGUAAAGACAGACGGCGAGGAGGAAGAUAUCCACGAUGGCGCGGCAGGGCCGAGCCAGUAUAUCACCACUUCUAACGCGGCCGGUGAUUCAGAAAGCAUCCCGACAGCCAUGCAAAGCUCAACCUCCAGGGAUUCCUGCAUAGAUCCCAUAAGUUUGGAGAACAUGCCUUUGAUGGUGUAAAGGAUAAGAGCUUUUUUUGUACACUGGGCUAUAAUGUUUUCUUUCUGCCUUUUUUAAAAUGUCUUCAACAGUUCAGCUACUGCAGUAAGAAAGCAAGCUAAUAAAAGUGCAUAGUCAAACGUGCCUUACAGGGUUUUUUCAAAAUUGUUUAACUAACUACAAUUUUUGCUCAUCCUGUAAUGUAAAUGGAUUUGAUAAGUCAAACAGUCAGUAAAUAGAAAGCUUUGACCUUUUCACAUGUAAGGUCAAAGCAGUUUUCUCAUCUCAAUCAGCUCUGGAGAUCUAUUUAGUAAAGAUGACAAGGACAAUAAGUAAACGAAUAUGUGUAUGAUUGUACAUACUGUGAAAUCUAUCUAACAUCAGCAUUGUCUCACGUUUUGAUUUUAAAUAUGACAAGCACUGAAGAUGAAAGCCACUUUACUAUACACUGUGCAUAAACAGCAGACUACAGCAUGUGCUUUAAAGUGAUGUGUGUGUGUGAUUUCUACUGUAGUUUCAACUACAACCAACAAACAAAGUCAACAGUUUGGAUGAAACAACCUAUGAACAGCUUACUUACAGUUGAGGUCAAAAGUUUUCAUACACCUUGCAGAAUCUGCAAACUGUUAAUUAUUUUACCAAAAUAAGAGGGGGAAUAAGGCAUUUCACAUAAAAUAUGUUUACAUAUAGUAAGAGAAAAUAACAGUUGAAUUUAUAAAAAUGACCCGGUUCAAAACCGUACAUACUGUGUUGUUACCUGAAUGAUCCACAACUGUGUUUUUUGUUUAGUGAUAGUUGUUCAUGAGUCUCUUGUUUGUCCUGAAUAGUUAAACUGCCCACGUUUCUUCAGAAAAACCGUUCAGGUUCCCAAAAUUCUUUGGUUUUUCAGCAUUUUUUGUGUAUUUGAACCCUUUUCAGCAAUGACUGUAUGAUUCUGAGAUCCAAUUUUUCACAUUGAGGACAACUGAGGGACUCAUAUGUAACUAUUACAGAAUGUCCAAAUGCUCACUGAUGCUUCAAAGGAAACACGAUGCAUUAAGAGCAGGGGGUGAAAACUUUUGAAUUUGAAGAUUAGAGUAAAUUUAACUUAACAUGUCUUCUGGGAAUCAUUUGAGUAUAUUCUGUAGCUUCUAAAGGGCAGUACUAAAUGAAAAAAAUAUGGUAUUAAGGCAAAAUAGGAAAAAAAAACCCCAUCUUCAUUCCGUUCAAAAGUUUACACUCCUUAAUUUCUAAAAUAAUCAACAUUUUUUAGAUUCUGCAAGGUGUGUGUAAACUUUUGACCUCAACUGUAUAUUUGAUUCCAAAUAUUAAGCAGGGACAAAAGAAAUCACAUACUCCAGCCUUGCAAAUCCUAUAACAAUGAGCAAGUUUUCCAUCUCAGAACACUGACGUCAAUAUAAAAUAAAAUGCUAAUGAUUAAAAAAAAAGCUUGUUCCG